UGGGGAAUAUUGCACAAUGGAGGGAACUCUGAUGCAGCAACGCCGCGUGCGGGAUGACGGCCUUCGGGUUGUAAACCGCUUUCAGCCAUGACGAAGCUUUUGUGACGGUAGUGGUAGAAGAAGCACCGGCUAACUACGUGCCAGCAGCCGCGGUGAUACGUAGGGUGCGAGCGUUGUCCGGAAUUAUUGGGCGUAAAGAGCUUGUAGGCGGUUUGUCGCGUCGAUAGUGUAAACACGCAGCUUAACUGUGUGCCUGCUGUCGAUACGGGCUGACUAGAGGAGGGUAGGGGAGAAUGGAAUUCCCGGUGGAGCGGUGGAAUGCGCAGAUAUCGGGAGGAACACCAGUGGCGAAGGCGGUUCGCUGGACCUUUCCUGACGCUGAGAAGCGAAAGCGUGGGUAGCAAACAGG
rnacentral:rRNA from 1 species